CAGGAGACUGAGCUGGAGACCAUGACUGGAGAGAAGGUCAAGGGGGUGGUUCUACUAGACGGAGGCAAGCUGAAGGUUUCUUUGAAGGGAAUUGAGUCUGUCACAGAAAUGCUGGAUCAGAACACGAUUGUAAAUACGAUGACCGUUGGUGGUGUUGUAUACAAGAGGAUAAGCAAACGCAUGUAACCGUUUAUAUACCAAGGGCAAAUCGAUAAAAAUAAAAAAUGUAAAGACAGCA